rnacentral:rRNA from 1 species
CCUACGGGAGGCAGCAGUAANGGAUAUUGCACAAUGGGCGGAAGCCUGAUGCAGCGACGCCGCGUGGGCGAANAAGGUUUUCGGAUCGUAAAGUCCUUUUCUAGGUGACGAGGUAGGACGGUAGCCUAGGAAUAAGUGUCGGCUAACUACGUGCCAGCAGCCGCGGUAAAACGUAGGACGCGAGCGUUAUCCGGAGUUACUGGGCGUAAAGCGCGCGCAGGCGGUGUCAUAAGUUACCCAUGAAAGGUACUGGCUAAACUGGUGUAAGUUGGGUGAAACUGUGGCACUAGAGAGGAAUAGAGGGAAGCGGAAUUCCGGGUGUAGUGGUGAAAUGCGUAGAUAUCCGGAGGAAUACCGGUGGCGAAGGCGGCUUCCUGGAUUUCAACUGACGCUGAGGCGCGAAAGCGUGGGUAGCGAACGGGAUUAGAAACCCCGGUAGUCCACGCCGUAAACGAUGCACAUUAGAUGUUCGGUCAUGUUAAGUGAUUGAGUGUUGCAGCAAACGCGAUAAAUGUGCCGCCUGGGGAGUACGGUCGCAAGGCUAAACUCAAGGAAUUGACGG